rnacentral:rRNA from 1 species
AGAGUUUGAUUAUGGCUCAGGAUGAACGCUGGCGGCGUGCCUAACACAUGCAAGUUGAACGAAGACAUACCGACGGAAUCCUUCGGGAGGAAGAUGGUAUGGACUGAGUGGCGGACGGGUGAGUAACGCGUGGGUAACCUGCCCUGUACAGGGGGACAACAGUUAGAAAUGACUGCUAAUACCGCAUAAGCGCACAGUACCGCAUGGUACAGUGCGAAAAACUCCGGUGGUACAGGAUGGGCCCGCGUCUGAUUAGGCAGUUGGCGGGGUAACGGCCCACCAAACCGACGAUCAGUAGCCGGCCUGAGAGGGCGACCGGCCACAUUGGGACUGAGACACGGCCCAA